GGACUUGGGCCUGGCGUGUCAUCUCUUUAAUGAUAAUGAAAAGACUUUCAAUUCUCCUUCCACGGAGAAAAUAGAAAAGGCGCGUCUAAUUUUUUUUAUUUUAUUUUUCUCCUUUUUGAAGGAAAUCAACCUUUUUCCCAAGGGCUAAAUUCUUAAUAAGAAGCAAAGAUGCCGAAUCGAACCAGACCUAUGACAGCCCUUUUGGUGUUUACUGGACUUAAUGUCGUUCUAGUGUCAACCAUUACUCCUGUCUAUGAUUUCGUGUGCUUCCUUCCUUAUUGGGAAAGAAGGGUAUCUGGUUGGCCAUCCAUCUUAUUAUCUUGUCACUUAUUACAUUACAGAGAGAACGACGUCGUCAAGAACGUGAAGUUGCUUUAAUCGAGGGGUCCAGACCAAAAUAAAAGGAUAUAUGAGGUUAAAAGAAGGAUCAGAAGACAAAAAGAAGCUUUCUAUGAGUACCUACAUAUUUUCUCGUUUACAUUCUGUAUAUUUUGGUAUUGGAAUAUGUGUGGGAUAGCACGAGCAAUGAUAGGCAGGGGCAAGCCAGCUGGCCCCUGCCCGGCCCUUUUCAUUUAAAUUAUUUUUUUAUUAAAAAAGUCGGCUGGGGGACGGUAAAACGUCCCCCAAGUAUCAUUUCCCGGGAUAGCACAUAAAAGAUUUGCGAGAAAUCAUGGUUGAUCUCUCUCUUGGUCUCUAUCCAACAGUUCUCUUCAUGCUC